GAUCUGAAAAGAAAAAUAUUGCUUUAGAAUUUUAUACCAAAAGUCUGGAGGGACACACUUUCUUUUUCAUGACUUCUUCUGGUUCCUAUAUGUCCCCACUCUGUGGUCAGCGCUAAAAUAUACGGCGUUCUGAAAAGAAACUUGGGUGGUUGUUUCUCUUUGUUGUAGAUCUUUUUUAAUUUCCCUUGUUAAUUUCUCUUGUUACCUUAUGUCCAAAAAGGUACUUGAAAAUGAUUCUAAAUG
rnacentral:misc_RNA from 1 species